UACGAAGGGGGCUAGCGUUGCUCGGAAUUACUGGGCGUAAAGCGCACGUAGGCGGUCUUUUAAGUCGGGGGUGAAAUCCUGGAGCUCAACUCCAGAACUGCCUUCGAUACUGGAAGACUUGAGUCCGGGAGAGGUGAGUGGAACUGCGAGUGUAGAGGUGAAAUUCGUAGAUAUUCGGCGGAACACCAGUGGCGAAGGCGACUCACUGGCCCGAUACUGACGCUGAGGCGCGAAAAGCGUGGGGAGCAAACAGGG
rnacentral:rRNA from 1 species